CAAAGGAAUUGACGGGGGCCCGCACAAGCGGAGGAACAUGUGGUUUAAUUCGAUGAUACGCGAGGAACUUUACCCGGGCUUAAAUUGCAACCGAAUAUGGCGGAAACGCCAUAGCUAGCAAUAGCGGUUGUGAAGGUGCUGCAUGGUUGUCGUCAGCUCGUGCCGUGAGGUGUCGGCUUAAGUGCCAUAACGAGCGCAACCCUUGCCGAUAGUUACUAACAGGUUAUGCUGAGGACUCUGUCGGGACUGCCAUCGUAAGAUGUGAGGAAGGUGGGGAUGACGUCAAAUCAGCACGGCCCUUACGUCCGGGGCUACACACGUGUUACAAUGGGGGGUACAGAGGGCUGCUACCACGCAAGUGGAUGCCAAUCCCAAAAACCUCUCUCAGUUCGGAUUGAAGUCUGCAACCCGACUUCAUGAAGCUGGAUUCGCUAGUAAUCGCGCAUCAGCCACGGCGCGGUGAAUACGUUCCCGGGCCUUGUACACACCGCCCGUCAAGCCAUGGGAGCCGGGGGUACCUGAAGUGCGUAACCGCAAGGAGCGCCCUAGGGUAAAACUGGUGACUGGGGCUAAGUCGUAACAAGGUAACCGU
rnacentral:rRNA from 1 species